rnacentral:rRNA from 1 species
GACGAACGCUGGCGGCGUGCCUAACACAUGCAAGUUGAGCGACGAACCAGGGCUUGCCCUGGGGCCAAGCAGCGAACGGGUGAGUAACACGAGGGUAACCUACCCCGAUAACCGGGACAACCCGAGGAAACUCGGGCUAAUACCGGAUGUGCUCACUGGACUUCGGUUCAGUGCGUAAAGGAAGCUUCGGCCUCCGUAUCGGGAGGGGCGCGCGGCCCAUUAGUUUGUUGGUGAGGUAACGGCUCACCAAGACCGCGAUGGGUAGCUGGUCUGAGAGGACGAUCAGCGACACUGGGACUGAGACACGGCCCAUACGCCUACGAGAGGCACCAGUGGGGAAUCGGAGGCAAUGGGCGAAAGCGUGACGCAGCAACGCCGAGUGGGAGAAGAAAACCUUCGGGUUGUAAACACCGUUCAGGGGGUACAAAGGUUCUGCGGUGAAUAGCCGUCCGGACUGACGGUACCGCCACAAGAAGCCCCGGCUAACUACGUG